AUACGGAGGGUGCGAGCGUUAAUCGGAAUUACUGGGCGUAAAGCGUGCGUAGGCGGUUUGCUAAGUCAGAUGUGAAAGCCCCGGGCUUAAUCUGGGAACUGCAUUUGAUACUGGCAGACUAGAGUAUGAUAGAGGGGGGUAGAAUUCCUGGUGUAGCGGUGAAAUGCGUAGAUAUCAGGAGGAAUACCAGUGGCGAAGGCGGCCCCCUGGAUCAAUACUGACGCUGAGGUACGAAAGCGUGGGGAGCGAACAGGAGUAGAUACCCUAGUAGUCC
rnacentral:rRNA from 1 species